GAUUUCUUCGCGUUCAACUAGCUUUAACUGUUCUUCAGGUCUGAAAAUUGAAAUCAAUCAACGCAUUAGAAUAAAAAUCACAAUUUAGAACGUUAAGAAAAAUAGUAAACACAGAGAGAAAUAGGAGAAUAAACUUCAGCCAAGCAAAAUCGGGGAAAGGUGCAAUAUAAUUUUGGGAAAAGGGAUGUUGUAAGGGCAGACUGGUUAGGUUCUUAUGACCAUUUUGGUCUUGUUUUU